GACGUAGGGGGCCAGCGUUGUUCGGAAUUACUGGAUGUAAAGGGUUCGUAGGCGGUGUGGCAAGUCGGGAGUGAAAUUUCUGGGCUCAACUCAGAGACUGCUUCCGAAACUGCUGUGCUUGAGUGUGGGAGAGGCGCGUGGAAUUGCAGGCGUAGCGGUGAAAUGCGUAGAUAUCUGCAGGAACACCCGUGGCGAAAGCGGCGCGCUGGACCACUACUGACGCUGAGGAACGAAAGCUAGGGGGAGCAAACAGG
rnacentral:rRNA from 1 species